AUACGAAGGUCCCAAGCGUUAUUCGGAAUCACUGGGCGUAAAGAGUACGUAGGCGGUUUGGUAAGUCAGGUGUGAAAUCCCGAAGCUCAACUUCGGAACUGCAUCCGAUACUGCCAGACUUGAGUAAUGGAGAGGCAGGUGGAAUUCUCGGUGUAGCAGUGAAAUGCGUGGAUAUCGAGAGGAAGACCAAUGGCGAAGGCAGCCUGCUGGACAUUGACUGACGCUGAGGUACGAAGGCUAGGGGAGCGAAAGGGAUUAGAAACCCCGGUAGUCC
rnacentral:rRNA from 1 species